ACUCCGCUGCUCUACUAGUCUCUCCAUCUGUUUCUGGUUACUUGAUUGAUAUUUAUAAGUUUUUUAGGGAAAUAAUCAUUGCUUUUUUUGUGGGUUUGAUAUUAGCUAAAUCUUCGGGAUUGCCUUCGUGAAUCCGCUCUUUGCUUGACUGCUGGCAUGAUUAUUGCUCGGUUGAUUAAACAGAAGCACCACAAAAUGCAGGUCGGUCUUGAGAACACUGCCGCUGGAAAACAAUCAUCUGAAGUAGGAGAGACCACGGAAGCAUUAGCCACUAAUCAAAAUCAUCGGAGAGUGAACGCAAUGCAAAUUGGGAACACUAGGAAUCAACUUGAAGCGUGCAUCAGGCCCAAGGACAAACAAACAUUAACACAAACCACCUACAGUAAUCCAAUUCUAUAAUAGAAGCAACCGUUUACAGCAAGCCAAACAAUUGACCAGCUAAGAAAUCCACCUAUUUCAGAAUUUUCACAAUCCCCACCCACUUAUAACAGCUGCUCUAACGGUACACUAUUAAUAGCUGACCACCAAGUAUCUUCUUUGGCAGGGCUCACCAAGCUUUUGACAGAAACAAAUACCUUCAGAAAACUUCUUUUCAUCUCAAACAACUAAAUCCUGAUCAACUUACACAUAAUGAGGUUAGCAGAUGGAUGAGAAUAUAUAACAAAAACCCAUAAAACUGCCGGUCAUUGUUAGCCACCACACCCACAUUGUGCAGACAUCCAUAAAAAAUUCUGGGAAGUAUCAUAUACUGAUGAAAUUUAACUAUGCCAAACCAAUGUGAAAUGCAAUUACAUCUACACAUAUGAAGUUGGGAUACCCCUUGUGCAACUCUAAAAACCAAGUACUCAAUGAUCCCAAAUUGCAAGCACUCCUAUCCAUUCCCACACAAAGAAAACAUAGAUUUGAAUAAUCUGACUCAAAGUGCAAGGUAACUAGAAAUAGCAAGUUAGAGACAGAUUAUCAAGUGAGAAAUGCAAGAGCAGUAACCAUUAACCAUUAAGAGACGUAGAGAAAAGAUUGACGAAACAACAUUUAAAGUUAACCAGUAAAACAGAAAUCCACAUAUUCGCAUGAGGAAGGAUGUGAAUGGGCCAAUCAGCAUAGAGAAAAUGAUAGGGAAAAUUAAUGAUAUAGGGCUAAGGCUGAGCCAGCUUCCACAAACACCCGGUGAAAAGGGACUAUGCACUAUGACUUUACAUGUUACUUCCAGAUCAUCACGCCUCUCUAUCCUAACCUCUAUUUUACAUUUCAUAAACACAGCCCAACCAAAUAUCAGUAUCUCUCUUUAAAUCGAUGCUUCCAUGAUGACACCAUCCCUAACAUAAGAACAGCCAAAUCAGCUCACAAGCUAUUACUUUCUCUCACAGUCUAGAAGAAAUUUUUUUUUCCACGUGUAAGUAUUGUCCUAAAGCUACCAACCUCAACUAUGUGACUCCGUAUCUCUGUUGGAUCAAUUUCUGAUCUUAAAUGUAUUAAAUUGACUACUUCAAAUGCAUGUUUCAGAGCAAACUCUGUAUGCUUAAUUUCAAAAAUACUUAUCUAAAAGACAAAGCAACUAUUGACAAUUUAUGAGACAAAACCAGCCCUCCCAAAACCCAAUAUGUGUUUUGUAUUCUGUCACCUGCCAAAUUAAAGCUAUGAAGAGACGUCAGAAUAAUACUAUAAACUCAAGGAAGAAAGAUAUAGGAAUCAUGAAGAGAGGGAGAGGGGUAUAAUUGCUCACCUUCUUGAACAAUGGGAUGAGAAAGCCAAGCUAUGGAAGCUUCAGGGCAUGGCAAUUACGAUAACACAAUUAUCCUCACAACAAACAAUGUAUUAAUUAUAGAAAACAAGAACACGCAAAUAGGCCAGAUGGUUAAACAUUCCAAAAGAAAUAAAAUAUAACAACAUAGAUGUCAGUCGCAGCUUCCAGAAAGUCCAUACGAGGUAAAGAAAAAAUAAAGCAAAUAUUAGCAACCAGACAUUAUAAAGGGCCAAAAAGCAUUGUAAGAAACCAAUUUAUGUCCUACAAAACAAGAAAUAUUAAUAUCAAUGAAUUUUGAGCGGCUUCUCCAAAAUGCAAUAGUCAUCUGCCCAAAUCUCUGCAAAUAUCAUAACAGUACAGCAAGGUUAAAGAUGUGAGUCCCAAACUUCCAACAAAGUCAUGGCAAGAGGUAAGAAAUCAGGUUGCUCCAAGAAACAUCAGGCCUGUAAAAAUUAUUCAAUAAUGGCAAAGGAAAGGGUUAAGAAAUGUGAACAUGAUAUAUUAAUAGAUAAUGUUGUGAUAAGGUGGAUACUGCUAACAUGUUAGAAAUGAGAAAAUAAAUUCAUUAUUACAAUGGGGGAAGAAUAUUGCAGACAAAUACAGAAACUGUAGAAAAAGGUGUAAGCAUGCAUCAUAUCAUCAUCCACCAUUGCUGCAUGGCAAGGCUUGCUGAAUAAUUCCAAGUAGGAUGAAAAAGUUAGUCUUAUGUUGAAACCAAACAGAACAUUAAAUGGUAGUUCAGGAUCGUAAAUUGUUAUAUCUGGUAUUUGCAGUCUGGACUACAUUUAGAGAGGGUAGAAUCGCAUACUUGCAAAUUAGUACCUUCUUUUCCUUUAAAAAAAAAAAAAGCUUUGCAUAUGAACAAAAAAGCCAAGGGAGAAUUCCAAAUAAGAUUGGCAAGAUGUAAAAGCAAAAGCUUAUUGGUCCUUGCAUUUCUUUUUCUAAUAACAACUACAUUAACAAAUAGAAAUGGACCAAACAUGAAUAUUUUGUGUUAGAAAAGAUGUUCUGACACACAAAUAGCAAACUGGUUUUACAGCAUAUUUGCACAUAAUCAUUAAAAAGAGCUUAUAACUAAUGCUGGGUACAAAAUUCUCCCAUGCAUAUCUGUAAGAGCGACACAUAAAACCAUAAGGGACUAUGCAAAUGCUAAGUAGCUUGUUUUGUAUUCUCAGGACCGACUAACAGAGCAAAAAUCAGUUGAAUACAUACAAGUUGGAAUAACCUGCCUGUUUUCCAGUCCUACAAAAAAGACCGGUAGUCUAAAGCCUAUCUCUGCAUUAUGGAUACAUAACAUGAACAAUUGAUAUUUCCAGCCACUUUACAGGUCUAGAGAGAAUUCUAUAUGUUUGUAGUUGUGUAUGUGUGUGGGUGUUUAAUAAUAAGAUAUGAAUAGAUAUGCAUAUACCUCUGAAGUCUGAACCAGGAACUAAUACCAGAAAGGCCACAUCAUUUCAUCUCUGCCAUGAACUUCUCAUACUCUGGAUCGGUACCAUAAGUUGCCUUUUCUGAAGCAGAGGGAACUGGCAGAGGCGCAGGUGGAUUUGGGGCCCAGGGCCCAUUACUGAUGCCCUGUGCAUGAUCAACUAUAGGGACAGGUGCAGAAGGUGGAGGAGGAACUGCAUUGUAAUAAGAUGAAUAACCUAAUGAAGCUGUAGCAUAUGCAGGUUGAGCUCCAGAAGGCAUUGCUAGUCCAGAGUUCCCAUAGAUAUUUGAUGAUGGUGGUGGAGCAGAAGCGCUUUUUUCAGACUGCACUCCCGGUGGGUAGAUUUGCUGAGCUUCACUAGAAGCCACUGUUUGAGUUGGUGCACCAGAGGGAAUAGGCUGUACUGGUGGAGGAUAUUGUACACCAUAAGGGGGCAUAGGCUGUCCUGGGACAGGAGGAUACAUCGUGGACCCAGGAGGGGGAGGAGCAUAAGGAGCAUAAGGAGGUGGUACUGGCGGUGCCCAUGGAACUGGAGCUCCAGUAUAGCUUGUAGGAGUGGCUGCAUAGCCUGCAGGUGGUGCAUUUGGAAGAGGACCACC
rnacentral:misc_RNA from 1 species